UACGGGGGGGGCAAGCGUUGUUCGGAAUUACUGGGCGUAAAGGGCUCGUAGGUGGCCAACUAAGUCAGACGUGAAAUCCCUCGGCUUAACCGGGGAACUGCGUCUGAUACUGGAUGGCUUGAGAUUGGGAGAGGGACGCGGAAUUCCAGGUGUAGCGGUGAAAUGCGUAGAUAUCUGGAGGAACACCGGUGGCGAAGGCGGCGUCCUGGACCAACACUGACGCUGAUGAGCGAAAGCCAGGGGAGCAAACGGG
rnacentral:rRNA from 1 species